rnacentral:pre_miRNA from 8 species
UCGUGGGACGAUUUUGUUGGGUGCCAGUGGCAUCAUACCGGACAGCAUUAGACGUGGCGAUCAGCGGGCUCUAAUACUGUCUGGUAAUGAUGUUAAUGGUGUUCAGAGAUGCAGCAAGAGACGU